ACCGACGCCAUCCUCUCCAACCGACUCAUCGGCACUAUCGUUCCACCCCCACCCCAAGCCGCCAUCUCCAUGGUUCCUCAUUCCCUCCUGGCUCUAGCCACAAUCCAGAGCUUCUAGAGUACCAGGAGGGCACCAUGCCUCCCCCAUUUUCUCGCCGACGGGGACGAUGAUGGGGAACGACGGGGUCAUCGGACCGGCCGCUGUCGUGCGCCUUCUUGCCGAAUCUACCCGCCGUCAUGGGCGUCCCUUCAAGAUGCGGAAAGAGAGAGGGAGAGAGGGGGAUAGGGGACGAGGCGGGAGCAGGCAGUCAAGGAGGUGGUGGUGGAGGGAGCCGGGAGGAUAGGGUGUUAAAGAGGGGCAGGAGACUGGGGGCAAAUCUACAGCUGAUACCUCCCAGUGCAGAACCAGCCACGCCGCUGCAUCUUCCUCCUCCCAUGCCUAGGCUGAGGCGUUUGUACUGGAGGGGGAUACUGUAUCUUUGCAGCAGAGGUACCUGGAGCUGCAGCCUGCAGUAGCAUUAACCAGGGGCGCAAGGGGAGGCUUAGAGCCUGAAAGAUUUGAGCCAGCAACAAGUCAUUAAGGAGCCUUUCGCCCUCUUCGGUAUUUUUUUUUCUUUCUCCUUGGAGCUUAAUUUUGCCUGCCAUUGAAUGGAUUUUACAUUGAAGAAAUAUUGGGGCAAAAGAAAAUGACUUGCUUGGAAAGCAUUGUGUUGUACCAUUCUACUGAACAUGUAAAGUUUCCCUGCGAAUAGCAUAGAUUUUCUUUUACAGUUCAUAUGAGAUACAAUAGUUGCUAGGAUCUGGAUAUUCAUCAGACAGUAAAUGGAAAGAUUGGUAUGCUAAGUAA